UACGUAGGGUGCGAGCGUUAAUCGGAAUUACUGGGCGUAAAGCGUGCGCAGGCGGUUUUGUAAGCCAGAUGUGAAAUCCCCGGGCUUAACCUGGGAAUGGCAUUUGGGACUGCAAGGCUUGAGUGCGGCAGAGGAGACUGGAAUUCCUGGUGUAGCAGUGAAAUGCGUAGAUAUCAGGAGGAACACCAGUGGCGAAGGCG
rnacentral:rRNA from 1 species